GGGCUGGUGGCGGAACUGGUAGACGCGACAGACUUAAAAUCUGUUGGCCGCAAGGCCGUGGGGGUUCGAGUCCCCCCCUGCCCAC
rnacentral:tRNA from 1 species